ACAUGGACACAUCUGAGCCUAACCUUGUUCCCAUAAUGGAUUUCAGCCUCUCUUGGAGCCUGGUGCCCUCUCCUGGUAGGAGAACUGUUGGUGCAGCUCCUCUUCACUCAUCUCCCUGAUGAACACCUUGAGCAGGCAGCGGAUCAUGAACAGUGCAUUGUGGGCCUGCCAGAUAAACAGCUGACUGCGGAAGAGAGAGACAGAGAAAAAAAGGACACCAUGUCCAAGGUCAAAUGUAGAACUGUGACAAAGAUAAUUGCUGUGAAGGGGCUGGCCAUGUUCCAUUGGUUUAUGUCCGAGCUUGGCUGAAGUUGCAUGUUCUUCAGUAAUAUGGAACAUCCCCCUGGUGCUCUUAAAAUAAAGACACUUCCCCUUUCAUAUUGUUA